AGCUCCAAUAGCGUAUAUUAAAGUUGUUGCAGUUAAAAAGCUCGUAGUUGGAUUUCGGACUGGCAGCGCUCGGUCGGCCGCAAGGUCUGUUUACUGUGCGCUGCUGUCUUCUUCUCAGAGUCGCGUGGUGUACUUGACUGUGCGCCUCGUCCGAAUUUGAGACGUUUACUUUGAAAAAAUUAGAGUGUUCAAAGCAGGCUACACACGCCCGAAUACAUGAGCAUGGAAUAAUGGAAUAGGACUUUGGUCCCAUUUUGUUGGUUUCUGGAACCGAAGUAAUGAUUAAGAGGGACAAUUGGGGGCAUCCGUAUUUCGUUGUCAGAGGUGAAAUUCUUGGAUUUACGAAAGACGAACAACUGCGAAAGCAUUUGCCAAGAGUGUUUUCA
rnacentral:rRNA from 1 species